rnacentral:rRNA from 1 species
AGCGAACGCUGGCGGCAGGCCUAACACAUGCAAGUCGAACGAACCUUUCGGGGUUAGUGGCGGACGGGUGAGUAACACGUGGGAACGUGCCUUUAGGUUCGGAAUAACUCAGGGAAACUUGUGCUAAUACCGAAUGUGCCCUUCGGGGGAAAGAUUUAUCGCCUUUAGAGCGGCCCGCGUCUGAUUAGCUAGUUGGUUGAGGUAAUGGCUCACCAAGGCGACGAUCAGUAGCUGGUCUGAGAGGAUGAUCAGCCACAUUGGGACUGAGACACGGCCCAAACUCCUACGGGAGGCAGCAGUGGGGGAUCUUGCGCAAUGGGCGAAAGCCUGACGCAGCCAUGCCGCGUGAAUGAUGAAGGUCUUAGGAUUGUAAAAUUCUUUCACCGGGGACGAUAAUGACGGUACCCGGAGAAGAAGCCCCGGCUAACUUCGU